UAUUAAUAUUGCUUAAUUCAGACAAUAUUAAUAUUUCUUGUUACAUGAGAGUGAUCCCUUUUUGGAAAUCCAUUGUACUGCACACCAGGAUAUGUAUCCUUUUAUUUAUGCAUGCUAUACUUCAAUAAAAAGGAAAAAAGAUGAAAAUAACACACAUAGCCAAAGAACCCCAUUUAUUUAAAAAAUUACAUUUAGUUUCACAAAUGUUUUAUUCAUUGCUAGAAAUUUAUUCACUGCUAGAAAUUAUCUGUGUAAUUUAGUAGAACUCGGAGGAAAAAAACCUCAAACUAUUUUAUAUUUGAAUAUUUAGCAUAAUCAAGUCCAGACACUGGGAAAAGUGAGGAAAAUCAAAGGAAGAAUGAAUAGAAGUACAUACUACAUAUAAUGAGGAAAUAUUUCAGCCUCCAAGGUCUUCAAAAAUUGUUUAGAAAUAAAUUAUCACAACAGACAGUGAUAAUAACUGCGACUGCAGACUUGAGCACAGAACCUGCAAGAACCUCUUGUGUUUCGUCGCCUCCCAGAUGCCCUACACCUUGUUGGUCCAGUUACAGAGAAGUCAAUGCCUCACUCCAGCCGAGAAGAGGGAAGAGGACAGGGCCUGACUCAGGAGUGUAAUUCUCUUGGAUGCUUUGAACAGAUCAUCUAGCAACUGAACUACCGAAUAUUCUAUGGUCAGCUCUGUGACUCACUGUAAUAGGGAAAACACUUGGUUAAGCCCACUUCUCUGUGCUGACAGCAUGUGGAACACAAUUCUGAACCCUGCUCUGUGUCAGAGGGAGAUUAGACCACAAGUAUGAUCCAGUUGGUGAUAAGGUAUCGGCAAUGGAGGCCUUUGCCACACUGAAUUACAUGAUGUAAAUUCCACCCUUAGGCUGAGGGAGGAAGAUGCUGUGAGUGUCUUCUAGCAGCCCUUCACCUGCACUUGAACCCUCUUGUUAAGGCAUGUAAACAUGACCUGAAAUCAAGGAUUCUGUCCAUGCCUUCCCAAGCGAGGAGGUCCAAGAGCAAAGUGCCAACAUGCAGAACUCCUUUUGGGUGCAGUCACUGAGACAAAGCAUCAUAAGCUUAGCCAUCAGUUCCAUCCAGAGUGGCAAGCAGCAGCCAACUCCCAUAAGCUCAUCAGUGUGCAGUAACUUGGACCAGCAAGCACCCUUCCUCACGAGAUGUCUUCAGAUAAUAAGAACAAUUAGUCUAUAGAGAAGGGGGCUAGACAGUGCCUCCAAUUCAUUCUAAUGCAUCUGCCAUUUCAGACACUAAACCAGAGAAUGAGCUAUAAUAGUUCACUCUAGGAAUGAGUUCCUUUUCCCAGAUUUCCUAAAUAUUGUGAACAACCUUGAGUCAGAUGGUGUAACUAACAACCGGAAAACCAGUACCAUCAUGUUUGACCAAUUUUUUGGUGCUCCAGACAUCUUCAUGAUCAGCCACUGUGACACCAGGGUUGUCAAUAAGGUAUAAUUUCCCAUGACAUUUGACAUUGAAAAAAGUUUUGAUGUGAAAGCUGUAGCUGUGAAAAGAAGCUUUUAAUGUUAAAAUUCUGUAGUUGGUCUCCAUGAGAAGGUACACGUGAGAAUGGUGGCCAAAUCAGAAUUCCUGAGUUCCGUAAGCUUCGGGAUAAUGUGAGCGAAGAAACUUCAUAAGCAGAAGACAGUGAAUCUGGGAUGUGGGAGGAACUGUGAUCGGUGCUGAGAAAGUAGACCUCAGAGAACUUUAGGUCUCCAGACUAGCACUGGAAGGUUAGGUCAUACUCAUAUUCAGGAGUACACAAAUAACCUAGGACACAUGCCAAAUUUUAUAAUUUUAAAUUUGCUUUAAAAAAGCAAAGGGAAUAACUUUAGCACAUACCAAAAUAGCUAUGAUAAUAUCCCAAACAUCACUAGUAACUGCACUAGUUGAGUCCAGAGGCCCUUAUCUGUCUCUGGAUCUAACAUGGGGAACUUGCUCAGUAAGCCCACAGAUUUCAUUUUGUUAGGCCUGUGUAGGAAAUGCAUGUAGGAAAGGCCUAUGUGGACAUGCCAUGUGUGCAGACUUUAGGCUACCAAAGGAAAUACUUUGGAAUCUAUUUUUCCAGAUUUGAUCUAGAGCUCUACUCUUCUACCUCCACAACAAUGAUAGACUUCCCAAAAGAAGGAGCCAGUAAUUUUUUAUAUUACCAACACAAUGCUAGUUUUAACAUUCUUCCAAAUCUUAUAGAUUGCCCCUAAAUUCCACCACUUCCUGACAGUGAUGAAUGGGGUGACAUCCUCAGAAGAACAUGGCCAUCCUUGUCGGCUUGGACUUAAACACCUGUAGUGAGGGCAUCUGUUGUUGCACUGUCCAAGCACAAAAAGGCCUUACUGGAACACCAUGUCUUGAUUAUAGAGGGAGCUCACAAAAGUGCCCAUAAAAUCUGCUUCAAGACCUUGAUAGCUUGCAAGAAACACAUAUACUGUUGACACAGGUAAAAAUCUCUUCACCUACUUAAGAAGUUGCAAGAAGUUUAAGCAGUCCAACAAUUUAUAUAGAGCAGCAAUCUUCCUGACUCUCUGUUCUUACGCUGCACUCUAGAGACAAUGCAGAUGCCAAUUGUAGGAUUGAAACAUAACUUCUUUUGCUAGACAGUUAAGGGCAUUGAGUUUGAAGCUUCUGGCUAAACAAUAGCUUUUGCAAUUUCAAAGAACAAGUAAGUGGAGAACUAUAGCCCUGUGCUGUUACAUUUUUAAGCAAGUGUGUUGAGGUACAGGGUUAGAAUCCUUGAAAAAAAGUUUUGUUAGGUUUGAGUGAUGCAAUUAGAAAGUAGUCUGUAACUGAUUUGUCCAAAGUAGCAUGUGUAAAACGUUUUUAAAAAGUGCAGAAAAGCCUUUAAAAGUUUUAUACAGUUCUGUAAAGUUUUAAAUAACAUUUUAAUGUCUUCUAAGAGGAAUAUCAUAUAUAUGUCUAACGAUGUAAAACAUGUUUUUGUGUAACCAGUAGUAACUAUGUGCCUAUCUAAAAGAAAGGUUUUUGAGGAUGAAAUGUUUGUCUGCCAAAAUAUUUGAAAGCAUGUAAUGAAGAUAGUCCUAGGUAUUAGAAAAUAUUGUAUUUUUAUUUUGCAUGAUUUGUAGCACCUACACUGUGUUUUGGUGGUGCUGAAACUGCGUCCUGAGUGAGCAUUCUCUUGGAUUGUUAGGCAGAUGUAUUUUUAAAAGUAAUAUUCCUGAAUAAAAAAUAAGCUCUACUGGGCCAGGCAUGGUGGCUCACGCCUAUAAUCCCAGCACUUUGGGAGGCCGAGGCAGGCGGAUCACCUGAGGCCAGGAGUUCAAAACCAGCCUGGCCAAUAUGGUGAAACCCUGUCUCUAUUAAAAAUACCGAAAUUAGCCAGGCGUGGUGGUGCGUGCCUGUAGUCCCAGUUACUUAAGAGGCUGGGGCAAGAGAAUUGCUUGAACCCAGGAGGCAGAGGUUGCAGUGAGCUGAAAUCAUACCACUACACUCCAGCCUGGGCGAUAGGGUGAGACUCCGUCUCAACAAAACAAAACAAAAAAGCUCU
rnacentral:lncRNA from 1 species